CUGACGGAGCAACGCCGCGUGAGUGAUGAAGGUUUUCGGAUCGUAAAGCUCUGUUGCCAGGGAAGAACGCCUAGGAGAGUAACUGCUCYUAGGGUGACGGUACCUGAGAAGAAAGCCCCGGCUAACUACGUGCCAGCAGCCGCGGUAAUACGUAGGGGGCGAGCGUUGUCCGGAAUUAUUGGGCGUAAAGCGCGCGCAGGCGGCAAUGUAAGUUGGGUGUUUAAACCUAGGGCUCAACCUUGGGUCGCAUCCAAAACUGCAUAGCUUGAGUACAGAAGAGGAAAGUGGAAUUCCNCGUGUANCGGUGAAAUGCGUAGAGAUGUGGAGGAACACCAGUGGCGAAGGCNACUUUCUGGGCUGUNACUGACG
rnacentral:rRNA from 1 species